rnacentral:rRNA from 1 species
AGAUUGAACGCUGGCGGCAGGCCUAACACAUGCAAGUCGAGCGGCAGCACGGGUACUUGUACCUGGUGGCGAGCGGCGGACGGGUGAGUAAUGCCUAGGAAUCUGCCUGGUAGUGGGGGAUAACGCUCGGAAACGGACGCUAAUACCGCAUACGUCCUACGGGAGAAAGCAGGGGACCUUCGGGCCUUGCGCUAUCAGAUGAGCCUAGGUCGGAUUAGCUAGUUGGUGAGGUAAUGGCUCACCAAGGCGACGAUCCGUAACUGGUCUGAGAGGAUGAUCAGUCACACUGGAACUGAGACACGGUCCAGACUCCGUACGGGAGCAGCAAGGUGGGGAAUAGUUAGGACAAAGUGGGACGAAAGCCGUGACUCCAGCCAUGCCGCGUG